rnacentral:lncRNA from 1 species
GGCUCCCAAAGCCAAGUCAGAGAUGGAGUUUGCAGAACCCUGAGAAAGCCUAGCCAGAGUGGUGUGCGCUCCUAGCAGGGUGGCUGGCGCCUAAGGCUCACAUCUGUGCAGAUAUGGCGGCGAAGAGAAUUCAUGAAUGCGGUUAUUCCAUGAACAGCCUGGGACUGGGCACUUGAGGUGCAGGACGUCAUUGGCUAGAAAGAGACGUGGACGCCUGGUCACUUGUGUGCCUUUCAACCAGGUGAACGCAUCACUAGGCUAAGGAGAUGGUGAGAAUCUUGGCAGGGGCUUCUGGGUAGUGCAAAGAGAAGUGUUUUGAAACCCAGGAGCCCCAAACUGGGUGGAGCCCUUGGAAGCUGAGGCCCAGCCUGUUUCUGAAGCACCCAGAAGGAGGAGACUGCUGUGUAUGAGCAUCGCCCUGCUUUGGUGACUCGAAGGAUAUUGUCACCCGCGCUGUAAUAGCCAGUGACCAGACAAGGUGUCUGGGCGCGUUUCCUCGUGUGCCUCUCAUUUUAGCACCGGACAGCUGAAGUUGUUCCGGACUCCGCACCGUUAGCACAAAACAUGAGGAAAAAAGCAUUUAAGGACCUCACAGGCUGGUCACAUGACCCACCGUAGGUGCAAAGGAAUCUGGGAAACUGAGAACGCUGUUGGGAGAAAUUAAAAAGGAGCCACUGAGCAGACUUCCAGAUUCCCCCCGGGGGUCUGCACAUACAGAAAUCCAAAAGAUAUGCUCGAAUUUCAUAUCUCCCUGGAGACUGUGCAGCUCUGUAUUAGUCAAUCAGGUCAGAAUGAAAGCUUGGCUCAGAGAGACACACAGGACCCCUUUGUUUUCAGAAUUAAAAAAGAAAAACAGCAGAAAAAUGGGUCUGGGUCUUUAAUCUCAGCAUUCAGGAAGUAUUUAUUUUAUGUUUAUGAGUACACUGUAGCUGUACUGAUGGUUGUGAGCGAUCAUGUGGUUGCUGGGAAUUUGAAUUCAGGACUUCUGCUUGCUUGCUCAGGUCGGCCCCGCUGGCUUCAGUCUAAAGAUUUAUUUAUUAUAUAUCUAAGAACACUGUAGCUUUCUUCAGACACACAGAGGAUGUCAGAUCUCAUUACUGAUGGUUGUGAGCCACCAUGUGGUUGCUGAGAUUUGAACUCAGGACCUUUUGAAAAGCAGUCAGUGCUCUUAACCUCUGAGCCAUUUCUCCAGCCCUAGCAUUCAGGAAGUAGAAGCAAGCAAAUCUCUAGAAAGCUCGAGGCCAGCCUGGUGGUCUACAUAUGAGUUCCGGCUAGCCAUCAAUAUAUACAUACAUACAUAUAUAUAUGUAUAUAUAUAUAUCCCUUCAAAAGUUUCACCUGCAGGGGCCCUCUGGGUGUGUUUGCUUGUUCUGCGUGGCAAUUCGCCCUUGUGCAGAAGUAAACCAUUUUGCCUUGCCAAAUGUGGAUCGUGAAUCUCCACACCCAUUUCCUGCAGGAAGGUGUCCCCAUUCACUGUUUGUAAAAGGGCUACUUGCUGUCUCAUUGACUACAGGCCCAUUACCAUUUAAAGAAUUUUCUAUGGGUGACAUUUAGGUGGCUUCCAAUCUUGGGGGACUACAAAUAAUGCCCCGGUUUGUAGAGCCACUAAGUCAUGGGACAUUUCCUAAUUAAAUACUGAUAGUGCUAUAUACAGGCUCCUCCUCCAUUUAUGAUUGGGUGUGGCCUUUAACUCUUCUCAGGUUGGAAGUAUCACAAAUCAAGAAUGUGUUGAAAGUCUACUUUCGGGCUGAAGAGAUGGCUCAGCUGUUAAGAGCACCGACUGCUUUUCCAGGGGUCCCCAGUUCAAUUUUCAGCAACUACAUGGUGGCUCAGAACCAUCUGAUGCCCUCUUCUGGUGUGCCUGAAGACAACGGCAGUGCACUCAUAUACAUAAAAUUAAAAAAAAAAAAACCUAAAACAAACAAAAAAAGACUUUUAAGAAAGUCUACUUUCUCGUGGUACCUGCCCUGUAACAUCAGCAUUCAGGAAGUGGAGUCAGGAGGAUCAGGAGUUGAAGGUCAACCUGAGCUACAUAAAGAGUUCUAGGCUAGUCUGGGCUACAGGAGACUCUAUUUCAAACAAACAAAUUACUUCCACACCCCUACCACAGAACACAGCUUAUCUAUUGUCACUGCCGUGCUGUAAAUCCUACUUAUCAAAAGUCAGUAAAAAGACUGGGUAGGAUGGGACCCCAGUGUCGGACAGUGCCACCGC